rnacentral:lncRNA from 1 species
AAAAUAAUUUUAUUGUGCUAGAAUAUAAUUAUAAAGGGCAAUUGCUUAUAUAUCCCUGAGAAGUUUCCGACUUUCCGAUUUAACCCUCUUAAAAGGUUAAUAUUAAAAAUAUCCCUCCUACGUUCCAAUCUAUUUCUAAUAUAACCCUAGAGAUUUUGGUUAAUAUUAAAAAUAUCCCUCCUACGUCCAAUCUAUUUCUAAUAUAACCCUAGAGUUAAAAUCUAUUAAGUAAACCUGUUAUUUCUGUAAAAUUACUAUUUUACGUUUUCAAAUAUACCCUUCCAUCAUUACUGUCUUUCUUAUUUGCCCUUAAAGUCAGGGGCACAAAAAAUAUUUUUUCUAAUAUACCCCUCUACCGUUACCAACCUUUCUUAUUUGCCCUCAAGAUAAGGGUAAAAUUGAUAUUUUAAUUUUUUUUUAACUGUGGUAGAUAUUUAACUCACAUUUAAUCCAGAUAACUGCAGGAAUAUUUUGUAAUAGGGAUAUUUUAUAAUAACGGUGAAACAUAUGAAGGGUAUUCAAAAAAAAAAAAAAAAUCGGAUAUUUUCAAACGUACGUUGGGUAUAUAGGCAAUUAUCCCUAAUUAU